rnacentral:lncRNA from 1 species
CUUCUUUUGGCCAGCUCCAAGGAUAAUUGGAGUGAUACUAUGAUAUGCUUCCGUUCGUUUUCAUCCAUGUCAACCAUGAAAGACAGGGUUGAUCUCAGCCUGAGCUAGAGAUGGAUCCCCAUCCAUGUACCUUUGCUCAACUGUCCUCAGACCAGGUGUCUGUGGGGUUGAAAGGAGGUCUGGUACCAGGAAGUGGAUGGAACAGUUCUGCACCUUCCUGCUUCUGUGUGAGGACCGG